AGUGAGCGCUGGCGGCGUGCUUAACACAUGCAAGUCGAACGAGAACGGGUUAUAGCUUGCUAUAAUUGUCAGCUAAGUGGCGCACGGGUGAGUAAUGUAUAGGUAAUAUGCCUCUUACUAAGGGAUAACAAAUGGAAACGUUUGCUAAUACCUUAUACUCCUUAUUAACAGAAGUUAAUAAGGGAAAGAUUUAUUGGUAAGAGAUUAGCCUGUAUUGUAUCAGUUAGUUGGUGAGGUAAUGGCUUACCAAGACUAUGACACAUAACUGGUUUGAGAGGAUGAUCAGUCACACUGGAACUGAGACACGGUCCAGACUCCUACGGGAGGCAGCAGUGGGGAAUAUUGCACAAUGGACGAAAGUCUGAUGCAGCAACGCCGCGUGGAGGAUGACACAUUUCGGUGCGUAAACUCCUUUUAUAUGAGAAGAUAAUGACGGUAUUAUAUGAAUAAGCACCGGCUAACUCCGUGCCAGCCGCCGCCGUAAAAC
rnacentral:rRNA from 1 species